GGCAGCUCUGGCCCCGGCACCCACUGGGAGAGGCCCCAGGGCCCCCCGCCCAGAGCCAAGGCCACAGCGGGAGCCAGGGGAGGAUUCGAGAAGUUUCUGCCAGCACUCCAGACUGCUCUUGACUCUGGGAGCAGAACCGCCAGCUGUCAGGCCAAGGCAAGAGAGCCUGGGGGGCAGAGUGGGCCAGGGGCUCCAGGAGGGGCCCGCGAGAUGCUCCCCUUGUGGACUGGAAGGACGCAAAAGCUGGUGUCUGGGGGGAACGGACCUGCCCGAGGCCACACUCCCCACAUGUCCAAUUCCCGCGCCUGGUGCCAGCUCUCUGCUAUGGCCAGUGGAAGAUGACCCAAGUCCUUGGGCCCCUGCACCCACACGGGAGACUCGGAGGAAGCUCCAAGUUCCUGGCUUUGGACCGGCGCAGCUCCAGCCAUUACAGCCAUCUGGGGAGUGAACAGCGGAUGGAAGACCUCUCUCUCUGUCUCUACUUCUCUCUGUAACUCUGUCUUUCAAAUAAAUUUUUAAAAAAUCUUAAAAAUAAUAACGAUAAACAAAUAAAUAAAAAUAUUUUAUUAUUA